GAGGGUAUAGCUCAGUGGUAGAGUGAAUGAUUAGCAUGCAUGAGGUCCUAGGUUCAAUCCCAGUUUCAUUA
rnacentral:tRNA from 1 species